GUACACUGAAUACUUAAUAAUGCAUGAUAGCUUUUUUCUAGGAGUUUUUAUAUAUCCUUUUACAUUUGUCUUCUCCAAAUCCUAUGAGAUAGAUAUCAUUACGCUCUCUCUGUUAAUAAGGAUUAUGAAAGUAAAUAAAGAGAAGUGAGCCACUACUGUACACAUGCUGAGUUCUCCAGAAUCAGAAUAUGGCACCAGACUCUCUAAUUUUAGAUCUAAUUCUCUUUCCACAGCACCAGAGAAAGAGAGUCAGAACUUCAUGUGAGAUCAAGGGAUGGAGCAGGAGAGACUCAAAUUCUUCUCCUCAGUCACUGUCCAUACGAAGGGUUCAGACAAAAUGUGUCAAAGACAGAAACGUGGUGAAGUCAUGCUGAACAACAUUUGAACUAUAACACUAGACCUCUGCAAAUGGAACGUUUCUUCAAGGAGAAUCAACAGUAGUGAAGAUCUGGACCAUCCCUGAUGCUCUCUCUGCAGCUUUGACCAAGAACAGAACUAAAGAGAGGAAAGGAAAAAAACAGGAAAAGUCCUCACCCAGCUUGGAACCGAUCUCCUUCAGAAUCCAGCCAAACUCAUAUCGGGAUUUUGAGGAGUGUUUGUUAUGGAAUUGUGUUGUCUGCUGAGGAAAUGUUGGGAUGCUUGCUGCCUUAGGAGUGUAUUUGUGUGGAUUCCAACGUAAGAGGGGAGUAAAGUUACCUACAGAAGUUUGUUGACUGGAGUGAGUCCACCACAGAUCAGCUGACUUUCGAAAUAUGAGGCAACUGUCAAUUGAUUUGCUUUCAGAAGAAUGUUCACUGUAAUGAUUUGUCAUUAAUCAAUUAAACAUGA
rnacentral:lncRNA from 1 species